GUGUUUGUGUUUGGUUCGGUUCCAUUGAAGACUUAUCUUCCCGAUGGGGACAUUGAUUUAACUGUAAUUGGAAAUACAUCUUGCGGUAGUACUUUGAUUGAUGAUGUUUACUACAUCCUUGGGUCGGGGGAGGAGAAUGGUGAUGCUGAAUUUGAAGUGAAGGACUUGGAACACAUUGAUGCAGAGGUCAGACUCAUUAAAUGCACUAUUGGAAAUAUUAUUGUUGAUAUCUCAUUCAACCAAACUGGAGGAAUCUGCGCAGUCUCCUUCCUUGAGCUGGUUGACCGCAAAGUUGGGAAAAAUCAUCUAUUUAAACGGAGCAUUAUAUUAAUCAAGGGAUGGUGUUAUUAUGAAAGUCGCCUACUAGGAGCUCAUCAUGGUCUUAUAUCAACUUAUGCAUUGGAGACACUUAUCCUAUACGUCUUUAAUCUAUUUCAUAAAUCUCUCCAUGGUCCCCUGGAGGUUUUGUAUAGGUUUCUGGAAUAUUUUAGCAAGUUUGACUGGGACAAAUACUGCAUAUGUCUAAAUGGCCCUGUUGCUUUAUCGUCUUUGCCUAACCUAAUUGUUGAAGGUUUAAAUGUACCUAGCGAUGACUUGCUGUUUGACAAAGAGUUCCUUGAGAACUCAGUGCAAAAAGCAUCUGCACCUCCAAGAAAUUCUGAUGCACGCUAUUCCAAAUUCCGUGUGAAAUGUCUAAACAUAAUUGAUCCACUGAAGGAGUGCAACAAUCUUGGCAGAAGUGUGAACAGAGCGAAUUUCCAUCGUAUUCGAACUGCUUUCUCGUUUGGUGCUCGAAAGCUUGGUCAAAUUCUUAUGUUACCACCAGAACUUAUUCCUGAUGAUAUUUUCGCAUUUUUCAAAAACACCUUGGAGAGGAAUGAAAAUGGAGUAAGGUCAGAUAUUGACCAUGUUGGUGCAUUUCAUUGUCAGCCCUUCCUUGGUCCCAGCAAUCAACUCUUAGAUGGCAUGUCAUGCAUGCAGAUUUCUUACAAGGAGGAAGAGAAAAGUCGUCCUCGUGUUUCAAAGAAAUUAGCUGAGCACGCAGUAAGUGUCAGAAUAAACGUGCCUACGCAGGGUGGAUGUUUUUCAGGAGAUGACUCGUUUGCACCAAGUACUGAUCUGAGUGCAAGAUUAUCCCACUGUGUCCGUCAUGAACCGAAUGACCAUGCGUAUGUUUUUCACGAAAAUAGAAACUAUGUGGCCCCUGAGAUGGAUGGACAGGAAUCUCGCUAUGCAGCUGAAGCCUAUAUGGGUGACAAAUCACUGAUACAGCCACAGCAUCAUGCACACUAUUCGUCAAAUAUAUUGAGCUCUAUCCAUGGCAGUGAUUUAGGACUUCCAAAACCUGGUCCCACAAAAAUGGAAAAGUUAAUUGGAACUUCACUCCAUGUGGAAGAACAUCUCCAUCCACUGUCAUUGUUGAACUUGUCGGAUCUAUCAGGGGAUUUGGAAUCACAGUUGAGAUGCCUCCGUCAAGUUCAGUACAACUUAGAAUACUUGUUUGAUGAAUUUUCGCAGUCUGUCCAAGAAGCAUCUUCUGACGGUAAGGUUGACAAGGAUUUAUUUGACAUUCUAAAUCGUGGCAUCCUGUUAAGUACUGAUACGGCGCUACCUGGGCUAUUGCCGCCUUCAUAUGCUGAAACGAAUGGAAUGAAGUUAUCUCCAGUUUCUUCUCAUAGCACUGAAGUUUCACAGCAAUCACAGGAUGAGGACAACUGGGAUAUGCCCUUUCAGUUGAAUGCCUGUGGAAUAGAUGUCCCAUCUAAUGGAUUAUCGCCAUCUUAUAUUGCUGAUUCAGAUAUUUCUGUUUCGUGGUGGCAUAGAUCAGAGGCUAUACCCAAUAUGCGUGAAACAGUCGGAUAUAUUCGUGAAAAGGUAGGAACAGGAUUAAAAAAGCACAUGACAUCUAUCGGAGAGAAAGGGAAGAUCCUGAUCAAUCAACCAGUGAAGAUUAAAAGCAACCAGGCCACGAUUCCCAAACGAAGUUUUGUCCCUUGCCAGGAGCAAGUAGCGCCAGACAGUGGGACCAAGGAAGGAAUUGGCGAUGGUCUAAAUGGAUAUACUCUCUUAGGUAUGAAGACGACUGAAAAGCACAGUGGUCAUACUCGAAAGGAAUUUGUCAAACCUCACUACGAAGCAAGGCACACACGGAGCUCCUAUGGGGAUGUCGGCUCGAACAAAACCUUCUUCCAGAAGCGAAAUUAUGAUACUGGCAUGAAGUGUGCACGACCAGUUAGUGCAAAAUACCAGCCACCUGAAGUUGAGGGUACUCCAGAUGAGUGCACAUACAUGAACAAUAACUUGGCAAGAAAUCAAAGCUGCAACACUCCUAAAGGGUAUGGGACAAAUCGAAGACUAGCCUCUGAGCCAUUAAAACUUCAAAGCAGCACAAGAGGAAGGGGUUUCUCGAAAAAGAACUUGCCUGCAAAACAAAAGUAUGAUAAUCACAGUGGGCUCCCAUAUUCUUUUGUGAGAGAUACAAAGCAUGCACCGAAUGGCCAAGUUGCGACCAUUCUAACUGGUUCGACAAAGGAGGUUGCCCUGAAUGAAGAAUUGGUUGAAAAUGGAACUAAACCAAUGCCAAAUGUUUUCAUUCCUCGUGAUAGCAGCUGGAAUAACCAACGGAUGCUUCUGGCACCUAGUACUUGUCACCCCUCCGUCCCUGUCACAAAAGUAUAUUCUCAAUCUGGAGCCUUGGAGACACAGCCAGAUAGGAUUAUUGAGUUUGGCUCUUUGGGGCCUUUCUCGUUGACAUCUCCCUCACCAAAGUCAAACAAGGCCUCGCCAAAGGCAUGUGCAGACGCCUCUGCAUUGGCGUUACAGAGCUAUAGAGCCAGUGCAACCCAAAGCAGGUCGUCAGGAUUUUACAGAAUAGGAGAUGAAGAGCAGUUCCCACCACUCCAUGCUAGGACCCGCUGA
rnacentral:rRNA from 1 species